GGAUGGUUACUCAAACGGUAAAGAGGGCAGUCUUGAAAACUGCUAGGCGUGAAAGCGUGCGAUGGGUUCGAAUCCCUCACCAUCCG
rnacentral:tRNA from 2 species